GGAUCCGUAGCUCAAUCGGUAGAGCAACUGGCUUUUAACCAGUGGGUCACAGGUUCGAUUCCUGUCGGAUUCA
rnacentral:tRNA from 1 species